rnacentral:rRNA from 1 species
UCCCAUCUGUAAAGAGUAAGAUCCCUCAGAGACGAUGAGGUAGAUAGGUUCGAGGUGGAAGCAUGGUGACAUGUGUAGCUGACGAAUACUAAUCGAUCGAGGACUUAACUAA